GGGAACUGCGGUCAGGUGGAAAGUGAUUCUGUUCUCUGCCGAGGCGGCUUGAAGUGUCAGCCCACUGUGUAACACCAAGAAGCAUCCUGACCCUGCCUGGAUCGACGCGAGGGCAGCUGAGGCUGAGGCAAGAUGCUCUGACAAGUCACGGAAACAUCAAGAUUUAAACUGAGUAUCACAGCAUAAACAACAUAUUUCCAGCAUUCAGACUCUGUGAUUCUUCCUAUCGGUAUAUUUAAGAUUUCAGAUGCAGGUGUUGAAUAAAGUCACUGCUUCAGCUUUUGCGGAAAACUCCAGUGAGGGCGAGAAAGGAGACAUGAUGAUCUGACUUCAUUGCCAAAUCUUUAUUGUCAGAAUAUCGGAAUAUUGGUUCCCAUCGUCUCCCUCUCCUUUCAUGGGAUCCCAUCCAGGAUAACAUAUUACAUUUAUUGUCAUGUUUACUUGGGCUGCUCUCCGCCGUGCGACAGUUUCUCAGACUUUCCUUAUUGUUAGCCUUUUUGACUGCUGACUGCCAAUGCUGAGAAUAGCGCCUGCCAUAUACCAGCUGGACGGGACUUCUGUAAUUUCACCCUCUCAUUUCACAAGUGAGGAUGCAAAAGCUGAAAGUGACUGAGUAGCUUCCCAAAGUCAACACCAGGCUGAUGAUAAGAGGAAAGUUUUGAUCUUAGGUAUUUUGGCUUCCAUUCCAGUGUUCUCUCACUUCAUCGAAUUGUGUGUCUAAUACCUGAAUCA
rnacentral:lncRNA from 1 species